rnacentral:rRNA from 1 species
UCUCGGAAUUCCCUGUGUUAAGGUGAGCAGGCGGAUAUGGAGACUGUUUGAAAUCCCCGGGCUCUACCUUGAAACUGCAUCUGUGACUGCAUAGAAAAGGACGGUAUAAGGGGUGGGAAUUUCUUCCCAGCAGUGAAAUUCGUAGAUCUGCGAUGGAACACCAACGGCUAAGGCAAUCCCCUGGACCUGUACUGACGCUCAUGCAGGAAAGCGUGGGGAGCAAACAAG